rnacentral:rRNA from 1 species
UACGUAGGGUGCGAGCGUUGUCCGGAAUUAUUGGGCGUAAAGAGCUCGUAGGCGGUCUGUCGCGUCUGCUGUGAAACUCAGGGCUUAACCCUGAGCUUGCAGUGGGUACGGGCAGACUAGAGUGCGGUAGGGGAGACUGGAAUUCCUGGUGUAGCGGUGAAAUGCGCAGAUAUCAGGGAGGAACACCGGUGGCGAAGGCGGGUCUCUGGGCCGUAACUGACGCUGAGGAGCGAAAGCGUGGGGAGCAAACAGG